rnacentral:rRNA from 1 species
UUGAACGCUGGCGGCAUGCUUUACACAUGCCAGUCGAACGGCAGCGCGGGCUUCGGCCUGGCGGCGAGUGGCGAACGGGUGAGUAAUGCAUCGGAACGUGCCCAGUAGUGGGGGAUAGCCCGGCGAAAGCCGGAUUAAUACCGCAUACGACCUGAGGGUGAAAGCGGGGGACCGAAAGGCCUCGCGCUAUUGGAGCGGCCGAUGUCGGAUUAGCUAGUUGGUGGGGUAAAGGCUUACCAAGGCGACGAUCCGUAGCUGGUCUGAGAGGACGACCAGCCACACUGGGACUGAGACACGGCCCAGACUCCUACGGGAGGCAGCAGUGGGGAAUUUUGGACAAUGGGGGCAACCCUGAUCCAGCCAUGCCGCGUGCGGGAAGAAGGCCUUCGGGUUGUAAACUGCUUUUGUUCGGGAAGAAAUCCUCUGGGCUAAUACCCCGGGGGGAUGACGGUACCGGAAGAAUAAGCACCGGCUAACUACGUG